rnacentral:lncRNA from 1 species
UGAAGCUUGUAUCAUGAUGUAAGUUGAGGAUCAAGAAGUUUCCAUUUUUGGCAGUUAAAAUUACAGGUCCAGUUUCUAUUUUUGGAAAUUUUCUGUUUGGCUUCAAAUUCUUCAAUGAUAUUGAUUGCCAUGAUAUAUGAGGCCUAUUGGGACAUGAAUAAGCCCUCUCAAACCAAAUCCAUCCAUUAAAACCAUAAAAUC